rnacentral:lncRNA from 13 species
UGGCCAACAUGGAGAAACCCUGUCUCUACUAAAAAUACAAAAAUUAGCCCGGCGUGGUGGCACGCGCCUUUAAUCCCGGCUGCUCGGGAGGCUGAGGCAAGAGAAUCGCUUGAAUCUGGGAGGCGGAGGUUGCAGUGAGCCGAGAUCGUGCCACUGCACAGCCUGGGUGACAGAAACUUCGUCUCAAAAUAAAUAGACUAAAAUAAGCAUUGAACUGAACAGAGGCAGCUCUUACAUCUGUCCAGUCUCGAGCUUAUGCAGAAGCCAGUGUCCUACUGCUCCUUUGGAGGAACUAUUGGUCAUUUAAAGGACUAAUUGAAGACAUUCUGUAGGUCAAGUCUGCCCGGAGCUGAGGGAGUUGCGCAGACAGGUGGUCCUCCGCGCCGGUUUGCAAUUCGGCCCCUGGAAGCAGCGGGAGACGUCGAAGGAGGCGAGAAGGUGCGUGCGCGCCUCAGCAGGCCCGCGGAUGCUGGGUGGUAUCAAGGAGGCGCUCAGAUCGCUGGAGCUGGAGCCCAGCCGGGGGUCUUUUGCGGGACCCGCACCCACCCCGGAGCAUCUUUGGCCCUGUUUCACUGAACUCGCCUUCCUCAUCAGGAAAGUGGGAAGACCGCUCACCUCCAGGACGGUGUGGGAUGGGGAAGAGGGAGCAGGGAGAGGCUGCGGAAUGCGCGGCGCAUACGCUAGCUGGCAUCACCGGGGAUUCCCGCGGGCUCGGUGGGACUCCGGGGCGCUGGCAGCGAGGACCCCCAGCCCAGUCUGGGCCCUCGGCGGCCUCAGUGGCCCAGGCCCGCCUGGCCUCCGCCCGCGGCCCUCCCCUGGGCUGCCGGGAAGCGGGCAGAGGGGCGCACUGGGCAGCGGGCAGGGACCCGGGGACGGCCGGGAGCGCGGGGACCCAGGACGCACGGGGCGGGCCGGGUGGCGCGCGCCUCGCGCCUUCCCCCUCCCCCGCGGCCCGAGCGCGAGCCGCCGUGACGUCACGGGCCACCCGCCAGCCCCGCGCUCCUCCGGGCAGAGCGCGUGUGGCCGCCGAGCACAUGGGCCCGCGGGCCGGGCGGGCUCGGGGCGGCCAGGACGAGGAGGGGCGGCGAGGAGCUGCGGGCGAGGAUGUGCCCCGGGACCCCUGGCACCUUCCAGUGGAUUUCCUUGCGCAAGGGAUGUGGUCGGCCCCGGUGACCUGUGGAGACCCGUCCAGAUCUGCCCUCCGGAAAUGGGAAAAGGAAAAGGUCUUCUGUGUGGAAAGUCCCCAGGAAUUUAUAGGAGAGCGGCUGCAGAAGACAGAGGUCCUUUCCGGCACUUAUUGUGA